rnacentral:rRNA from 1 species
UGGGGAAUCUUGCACAAUGGGGGAAACCCUGAUGCAGCGACGCCGCGUGAGCGAUGAAGCCCUUCGGGGUGUAAAGCUCUUUCGACAGGAACGAUAAUGACGGUACCUGGAGAAGAAGCUGCGGCUAACUACGUGCCAGCAGCCGCGGUAAUACGUAGGCAGCAAACGUUGUUCGGAAUUACUGGGCGUAAAGAGUGUGUAGGCGGUUUUGUAAGUUUGGUGUGAAAUCUCCCGGCUUAACUGGGAGGGUGCGCCGAAAACUGCAAGGCUUGAGUACUGGAGAGGAUAGCGGAAUUCCUGGUGUAGCGGUGAAAUGCGUAGAUAUCAGGAGGAACACCGGCGGUGUAGACGGCUAUCUGGACAGUAACUGACGCUGAGACACGAAAGCGUGGGGAGCAAACAGGAUUAGAUACCCCCGUAGUCC